GGCGGCGUGCCUAAUACAUGCAAGUCGAACGUCGUUUCUAUGAAGCUUGCUUCCACUGAGAAGAUAGUGGGCGAACGGGUGAGGUAACAACGUGGGUAACCCUGCCCAUAAGAGGGGGGAUAACAUCCGGAAACGGGUGCUAAUACCGCAGUAGUUUUCUUGAUCGCAUGAUCGGGAAAGGAAAGACGGCCUUUGUGCUGUCGCUUAUGGAUGGACCCGCGGCGUAUUAGUUAGUUGGUGAGGUAACGGCUCACCAAGACGAUGAUACGUAGCCGACCUGAGAGGGUGAUCGGCCACAUUGGGACUGAGACACGGCCCAAACUCCUACGGGAGGCAGCAGUAGGGAAUCUUCCGCAAUGGACGAAAGUCUGACGGAGCAACGCCGCGUGAGUGAAAGAAGGUUUUCGGAUCGUAAAACUCUGUUGUCAGAGAAGAACAAGUUGGAGAGUAACUGCUCCAGCCUUGACGGUAUCUGACCAGAAAGCCACGGCUAACUACGUGCCAGCCGCCGC
rnacentral:rRNA from 1 species